UAUGAUAAACUUCCCCUAGUACGAAAGGACCGGAGAAGUAGGGCCAAUACACCAAGCACGCCCUCUCUUUAAAUGAUGAACCCAACUAAAUCAUAAAAAGAAUAACCACCUUGCCCUAGACAAGGGCAUUC
rnacentral:rRNA from 1 species